UACGGGGGGGGCAAGCGUUGUUCGGAAUUACUGGGCGUAAAGGGCUCGUAGGCGGCCAACUAAGUCAGAUGUGAAAUCCCCGGGCUCAACCUGGGAACUGCAUUUGUGACUGCAUCGCUGGAGUGCGGCAGAGGGGGAUGGAAUUCCGCGUGUAGCAGUGAAAUGCGCAGAUAUGCGGAGGAACACCGAUGGCGAAGGCAAUCCCCUGGGCCUGCACUGACGCUCAUGCACGAAAGCGUGGGGAGCAAACAGG
rnacentral:rRNA from 1 species